UUUGUGUUGUUUCUUCUCCGCAGAGGAAGGACUGAACCAUGAAUGCAAGCUCUGUAGUCAGUCAUUCGACUCACCGGCGAAGCUUCAAUGCCACCUGAUUGAGCACAGCUUCGAGGGCAUGGGGGGAACCUUCAAGUGUCCAGUCUGCUUUACAGUGUUUGUCCAGGCCAACAAGCUCCAGCAGCACAUUUUCUCUGCCCACGGACAGGAGGAUAAGAUCUACGACUGCUCACAGUGCCCACAGAAGUUCUUCUUCCAGACAGAGUUACAGAACCACACGUUGACUCAGCACAGCAGCUAACGUGGCAGAGCUCAGUGCCGUGACCAAGAACAAGGAUCGCAUGACGCACAGAACCAAUCCUGACCGCCAAUUACUGUCGGCGUAUUUUCCCACUGACUGACUAGUCCUGAGCAUUCGAUUCAGCCCCACCGCCAGAAACCACACCACAGAAGAAGGAGAAAAAAAAGAAGAAACAAAAGCAGAGAAAGAACAUAAAAGAAGCCUUUCGGUUCUUUACUAAUCAUUGUGUCCAAAGUAAAGAAAAGGCCAUCUUGUUUGUACAUAGACUUCUUUAUGUGUUCCUUAUCUACAGGUAUAUUACAAUCUUAUACAGUAUUUGCCAUUGUACAGUUAAAAAUGUUUGUCUAAAAAAAGAGUAAAGGAGGGAAAAAAAUAUCAUUAAAUCUGUCAAAGAAAAUGGGUAUUGACCCAUCGUGAGAGGAGGCGUGCCAUAACGAGCACAGGACUCUUCAUCACUGGCACUCCUUCGUGGUGUAUACAGACAGUCAAUCCUUAUAAGGUAAAAAUUUUGGAAAAAAAAAAAAAGAACUGAAUUCACCAGCAUAGGCAGAUACCUUGUCUGUGUGUCUGUCAUACAGUAAGCAUGGCUGCCGGAGGAGCAGCUGUGAAUGACGGYGCAACAAAUCUGCACUGCCUGUGCUGAASUUCAUGCGAGAGACGGGAAAAACUAAACAACACAGAGAAGAGAAGAAGAAAAAAAACAGGACAGGGGACAGACAGGAUGCUGAUAUAUGCAAAUGCAGUGACACAGAUUUGGAAAAGGCUAGCUCCUCUGGUUGGCUCGUGAACAGAGGCGUGAAGCUCCCAUGUGGCUCUCAGAGCGUGGGGAAAUCUCCGGCCCACUGAUUCAACCUGUACAUUUCUGUUAUUAAUGUUUACUGCUUGUUGAAGCCAGAAGAUUACUGGAAUUUUCUCCCUUUUUUUUUUCCCAUGUUUUGUUAUCUCUGUGUAUUUUUCACAAUUUGAAUUUAGGGCAUGAAGACUGAGYGCAAACUCAGACUGUCUCGGGGAUACAACCGUAGUUCUAAAACGCCGUCCCUGGCUCUCCUGGAGAGUGUCCGCCCAACCCUCUUCCUUUGCAGCGUCUCAUUGCCCACUGCUCAAACUGGAAGCCACUGUGGCACCAUACAAAACUCCUGACCCAUCCUGUAUUGUAAAUGUUUUGCAUUCAUUGAACCUGAGAUGCACUUUUGUAUGAAACUUUCAUGUUUUGACAUUUUGACUGAAAAUUGUUCGUAUACAGUUUACAGGAAAAACACGAUCUCCUGCGGCAAAAAGGAAAGUUAUCUCUGAUGUUAUUAAAAUGUAUUGUACAAAUAUAGAGUUCUGUAUUUGGCAGACCUCAUUUUUUUGUGUUGCACAUGUGAUGGAAAUAAUAAAAACUGUAUGAGGAAAUGGC